rnacentral:rRNA from 1 species
GGAGGAUCCGAGCGUUAUCCGGAUUUAUUGGGUUUAAAGGGAGCGUAGRUGGAYGUUUAAGUCAGUUGUGAAAGUUUGCGGCUCAACCGUAAAAUUGCAGUUGAUACUGGAUAUCUUGAGUGCAGUUGAGGCAGGCGGAAUUCGUGGUGUAGCGGUGAAAUGCUUAGAUAUCACGAAGAACUCCGAUUGCGAAGGCAGCCUGCUAAGCUGCAACUGACAUUGAGGCUCGAAAGUGUGGGUAUCAAACAGGAUUAGAUACCCUGGUAGUCCACACRGUAAACGAUGAAUACUCGCUGUUUGCGAUAUACUGYAAGCGGCCAAGCGAAAGCGUUAAGUAUUCCACCUGGGGAGUACGCCGGCMACGGKG